rnacentral:rRNA from 1 species
AUCCUGGCUCAGGAUGAACGCUAGCGGCAGGCUUAACACAUGCAAGUCGAGGGGCAGCGCGGGGUAGCAAUACUCUGGCGGCGACCGGCGAAAGGGUGCGUAACGCGUGAGCAACUUGCCCGUAUCCGGGACAUAAGCGGUGGAAACGCCGUCUAAUUUCCCAUAACAACAGGAGCCGCAUGACUCCAGUUUGAAAGAUCCGUCGGAUACGGAUGGGCUCGCGAGACAUUAGCUAGUCGGCGUGGUAACGGCACACCGAGGCGACGAUGUCUAGGGGUUCUGAGAGGAAGGUCCCCCACACUGGAACUGAGACACGGUCCAGACUCCUACGGGAGGCAGCAGUGAGGAAUAUUGGUCAAUGGGCGCAAGCCUGAACCAGCCAUGCCGCGUGUAGGAAUAAGGCCCUAUGGGUCGUAAACCGCUUUUGUUGGGGAGCAAUAAGUCUUACGUGUAAGAUGAUGAGAGUACCCAGCGAAUAAGCAUCGGCUAACUCCGUGCC